rnacentral:misc_RNA from 1 species
AGGAAUUUCUCCAUCAAGAUUAUUGUUGCUCAACAACAGAACACUGAGGGAAGAUAGGAGACCAAAGGAACUUGGAAUUUGGCCUGUUAAAGUAUUGUUUGACACAUCAAUAGCCCAGAACAUUAGUUGAUGCCAACAGUUGGGAAGUUCUCCUGAAAUCUGAUUGUUCCUAAGCGAAAGAACUUGCAGACCUCCUAUAUCACACAAUGAUGAUGGAAUUCUACCAGUAAGAUGGUUCGAAAA